CCAGGAGAGCCGGAAAACCUUAGGAGCCGACACCCAGGGAGCUGGACACCUGGGAGAGCCGGACACCCGGGAGAGCCGGAAACCUUAGGGAGCCGGACACCUUAGGGAGCCGGACACCCAGGAGAGCCGGACACCCGGGAGAGCCGGACACCCGGGUGAGCCGGACACCCAGUAGAGCCGGAAACCUUAGGGAGCCGGACACCUUAGGGAGCCGGACACCUGGGAGAGCCGAACACCCGGGAGAGCCGGACACCCAGGAGAGCCGGAAACCUUAGGGAGCUGGACACCCGGGAGAGCCGGACGCCCGGGAGCCGGACACCCGGGAGAGCUGGACACCUGGGAGAGCCAGCGCUGCCAGCUCCAGGCCUGGUCCGAAUCUGAAGGACACUUUGGAAUCAUCGCAGCCGCUCUGAGCAGCCCGCCCUCCCGCUAACAAUGCCCACGACAGCCUCAGAAACGGGAAAACAGAUCGACUUUCUCCAAACUGCUCACGCCCCAAGCUAGGAAGGAGCAGCUUAACUUUGAGCCAAUUCCAGAAGCAAACAGUGCUGGGUUUAGGGAAGGCGGAGCCGGACUCCAUGUGAGGGCGUCGGAUGCCAACCCUGCACAGUUGGAUGGGGGGCUGCACCCAGGAGGAGCAGGUGCGGGGGACAAGGCCAGCUGGACACACCUGAGCGGGAAGCUGGGAUCCCACACUGGAUAUGGAGCCCCCUGCCUGCACCCAAGACCCCACCAGCCAGUCAUGGUGCCGACUCCAGACCCCCACCAGCCAGUCAUCGUGCGGACUCCAGACCCCCACCAGCCAGUCAUCGUGCCGACUCCAGACCCCCACCAGCCAGUCAUCGAGCCGACUCCAGACCCCCACCAGCCAGUCAUCGAGCCGACUCCAGACCCCCAACAGCCAGUCAUCCUGCCGACUCCAGACCCCCACGAGCCAGUCAACCCAGGGAGGUGAGCAUGACUCAGUGGGCGCCCCCACAGUGGGUCAGCUUCGCUAGGGCACAGCCCGGGAACCCAGGGAAAGUGAAUUACUCUGCACUCUAUUUUAAAGGCCUUUUCACAUCA